AAAGACAAAAUAAACAAAAAAGAACAAAAAAAAUCAUCAAUAUAACUGUUUAAGGCAAGGAUAUACUGGCAGUAUAAUGUAAUGUAGGCACUGUGUAGCGUUAGACACCGAAAGUUUCCACGUAAAGUACAACGUUUCCAUUGAAAACCAUCGUAUGCACGAUGUAUACUUCAAUCACGCUACAUUUGUCCAAUGCCAACCACUAUCAAAAGGAGUUCACACCAAAGGUUUCCAUGGUAUAGCUGUCACAUUGAUAAACAUACUCAAAAAAACCAAAACAAUUAUAGUAGAAAUAAAUUAAAUUCUCUGAGAC